UACAGAGGGGGCAAGCGUUGUUCGGAAUUACUGGGCGUAAAGGGCGCGUAGGCGGCCUUCUAAGUCAGACGUGAAAUCCCCCGGCUUAACCUGGGAACUGCGUCUGAUACUGGAGGGCUUGAGUGCGGGAGAGGGAUGUGGAAUUCCAGGUGUAGCGGUGAAAUUCGUAGAUAUUGGGAAGAACACCGGUGGCGAAGGCGGCUCUCUGGACCGAGACUGACGCUGAGGCGCGAAAGCGUGGGGAGCAAACAGG
rnacentral:rRNA from 1 species